rnacentral:rRNA from 1 species
UACGGGGGAGCAAGGCGUUGUUCGGAUUUACUGGGCGUAAAGGGCGCGUAGGCGGUCGUGACAAGUCACUUGUGAAAUCUCCGGGCUUAACUCGGAACGGUCAAGUGAUACUGUCGGACUAGAGUACAGAAGGGGCAACUGGAAUUCUCGGUGUAGCGGUGAAAUGCGUAGAUAUCGAGAGGAACACCUGCGGCGAAGGCGGGUUGCUGGCUGACACUGACGCUGAGGCGCGAAAGCUAGGGAGCGAACGGG